rnacentral:rRNA from 1 species
UACAGAGGCCCCAAGCGUUACUGAGAAUCACUGGGUUUAAAGGGUGCGUAGGUGGUCCGUUAAGUCUGUUGUGAAAGCCCUUGGCUCAACCAAGGAAUUGCUUCGGAUACUGGCGGACUUGAGGCUAGUAGAGGUCACUGGAACUGACGGUGGAGCGGUGAAAUGCGUAGAUAUCGUCAGGAACGCCGGUGGUGAAGACGGGGUGACUGGGGCUAGUUUCUGACACUGAGGCACGAAAAGCGUGGGGGAGCGAACGGGG